rnacentral:lncRNA from 1 species
CAGAGAAAGAAACCGAGAACACAGAGAGACACACAACACAUAAGACAUAGAGAGACAAUACACACACACACAGAUACAAACACAAACAUACAGAGAGAGAGAGAGACACAACACACAGGGACACAAACAACACAGAGACACGCACAAAAGAGAAAGAAACACACACACAGAGAGAGCACACACACACACACAAACAUACACAUAGACAGAGACACAACACAGAGACACACUCACACACGCACAGAAAGAGAAAGAAAGAGACACACACACACACAGAGACACACACAGGAGAGAGGAGACACACAAGAGGGGGAGACACACAGACAUGCACACAGAGAAACACACACACAGAGACACACAACAGGGAGAGAGAGAGACACACAGACAUGCACACAGAGAAACACACACGUGAGAGACACACCAGGGACACACACACAAACACACCUUCACACAUGCACAGAAAAAGAAACACACACACAAACAGACAGAACAAAACACAGAGAGAGAGACACACAGCCAUACACACACAAAGAGAGAGACACACAGAGAGAGACACACACACAUACACACAGAGAGACAGACACACACAAAACACACCUUGACACACACACAGAAAGAACAUACGCACAGACACACACACAGAGAAGAAACACACACACGAGACACACAGAGAGAGACACAUACAGAGAUACAGACACACACCACAAGGUCACAACACACACACACACAAGAAACACACAGAGUGAGAGAAGACACACAUACACACACACACACACACACACACAGGGUCACAACAGAGAUACAGAGAGGCACACAAACACACAGGGACACAGACACAGAGACACACACACAGAGAGACCCAGAGAGACACACAACACACACACACACACACACACAGGGUCACAGACACACACCACAACACAGAGAAAGAAACACACAGAGAUCGGAGAGACACACACACACACACAAGGACACAGAAACACACACAACACAGAGAAAGAAACACACACUCUGAGAGAAAGAAACACACACACACAGAGAAAGAAACACACACUCGGAGAGAAAGAAACACACACACACACAGAGAAAGAAACACACACUCGGAGAGAAAGAAACACACACACACACAGAGAAAGAAACACACACACACAGAGACAUACACAGACCGAGGGAUACACGCUUACACACACAGAGAGAGGGAGACACGCUUACACACACAGAGAGAGGGAGACACGCUUACACACACAGAGAGAGGGAGACACACCGAGAGAGAAACACACACACAGAGAGAGAGAGACACUUACACACACAGACACACACACAGAGACACAUACACAAAGAGAGCCACACAGAUAG